rnacentral:rRNA from 1 species
GGGUAGCGGAACACGUACGCAACCUUCCUUUAACUGGAGAAUAGCCCCUCGAAAGAGGGAUUAAUACUCCGUAACAUAUUGAUAAGGCAUCUUAAUAAUAUUAUAGCUCCGGCGGUUAAAGAUGGGCGUGCGCCUGAUUAGAUAGUUGGCAGGGUAACGGCCUACCAAGUCUGCGAUCAGUAACUGGUGUGAGAGCACGACCAGUCACACGGGCACUGAGACACGGGCCCG